UACGUAGGGGGCAAGCGUUGUCCGGAUUUACUGGGCGUAAAGAGCGUGUAGGCGGCCAAACAGGUCCGUUGUGAAAACUGGAGGCUUAACCUCCAGACGUCGACGGAAACCGUGUGGCUAGAGUCCGGAAGAGGAGAGUGGAAUUCCUGGUGUAGCGGUAAAAUGCGCAGAUAUCAGGAAGAACACCAAUGGCGAAGGCAGCUCUCUGGGACGGUACUGACGCUGAGACGCGAAAGCGUGGGGAGCGAACAGG
rnacentral:rRNA from 1 species